CUUCCUGUGUGUCUGAGUUCACUCUCUAAUGGGCAGAGGAGCUGUGUGAGAACGAGCUCUGACCUACUGACACCAGCUGGCCAGUCUCCCUCUGCUGGCUGCCAAGAAAGAGACAGAUCCCAGUAUAGACGUUCUGGUCUACCGUUCCUCUCCUGUUACUUCAAUUAUGAUGACAUCUGCAGGAUACAGUUACGCUCCUCGGCCGAGUCCACAGAGUGUGGAGCUCGAUGGCUGUUUAUCAGAGUUGGGAUGAGUGCGCUGAGUCAGUGUGUUUUGAAAUGAGCUCUGUUCCCAUUAGCGCAGACGUAAUCUCUUUAUGAAUGCUCCAAUUACUGCACUGUUCUGGUCCUACAUCUUCAUCGUUGCCCAGGUAGCCAGUGGACUCGACCUUCAAGUCCUAUGGGAGAGACUCCAACCAACAGUCUCGUCAGUCUGUCCACCAAUGACAGCCAGAAGACAGAGUGUGCCACAGUCCCUGUCGACCCAAAGUCUGACGACAUCUUGCCAGCCUUCAUUCAUCCCGAGUCUCAGCCUAGUCGGCAACCGGACUCGGGCCGACGUGUUUCUUCUGGCGUGCCGGGCUUAAGCCGGAUCUGGGCCAGGUCAUUUUGACUACCUGGGUGGUUAUUAAGUUUCUGCCCUUUUUUUUGUGGACUCGUUGA